rnacentral:rRNA from 1 species
ACUCAAAGGAAUUGACGGGGGCCCGCACAAGCGGUGGAGCAUGUGGAUUAAUACGUCACUAACCGUAGAACCUUACCCAGGCUUGACAUCUGGAGAACCCGCCUGAAAGGGCGGGGUGCCCCGCAAGGGGAGCUCCAAGACAGGUGUUGCAUGGCUGUCGUCAGCUCGUGUCGUGAGAUGUUGGGUUAAGUCCCGCAACGAGCGCAACCCUCACCGACUGUUGCCAGCAUUCAGUUGGGCACUCUGUCGGAACUGCCCGUGCAAGCGGGAGGAAGGUGGGGAUGACGUCAAGUCAGCAUGGCCCUUACGCCUGGGGCUUCACACAUGCUACAAUGGCCGGUACAGAGGGUCCCGAUACCGUGAGGUGGAGGCAAUCCCAAAAAGCCGGUCUCAGUUCGGAUCGCAGGCUGCAACUCGCCUGCGUGAAGUCGGAAUCGCUAGUAAUUGCCGGUCAGCUAAACGGCAGUGAAUACGUUCCCGGGCCUUGUACACACCGCCCGU